UAUAAAUAAAAGCGCCAAAAUGGCGGGUCAAUUUCGGGUUUGAAAAGAGCACAGCAGCGAUGCAGAAACAAGCUGCAGUUCACAAUUAGAACACGAGAGGGCGCUCUUGUUCCAACAGAACCAGAUGAAGACCAUCACAAAAUAACAGCCAUGACUCAAGAUGGACAAAAAGUUCCUGCUGUGAUGCUGCAGCGACGUCAUGACAACGCUUUAAAGAUGUCGCUCCAAAAUGGUGACCUCAGCAUCCGACUGGCUGCGGCUGCAAAGGAAUGAGCUUAAUUAAUAACAUACAAACGCCUGAGUCGUCAUUUUUUCCGUGAGAGAGUGAUGUUGGAGUGGAGUGGAGUACCGCACUCAAGCCUUCAUGAGAUUCUUCGCCUUCGUCCUUCUGUUCUGGAACCAGAUCUUCACCUGCCUGCAGCCACACAAAACACGACACAUUUGGAUGAACGAUGCACUCAAACACAAAUGUUGUUUAUGUUUUCUUGUUUUUAAAGCACAGUUUCAGCCGCAAUAAUCUGCAGGUUGUUGUCUCAUUGUUGUCAUGGUGAUUGGUAGCGAUGUUAGGA